UUAAUGGAACAAUAUUUCCUCACAUAUAUAGUUUAUUUGUGAUAAUAUAUUUUUUCUUUUAAUUUAUUUUUUUGAGUGUUAUUUUUAUUUUCAGUUCAAAUAAAUCCAAUUGGAACUGUUGACGAUGAAGAAGAGUACCCUUGCUUCUGUUCUACGUGGUGGAGAUGGUGAUGAUCAGCCAAAUCAAGAGAACGAAAUUUUGAUGAUGAAGAUGAACUGAUUUUGAGAUAGAGCUUGAUGUAAUGGGAAUAAAACCCAAAAGGAGAACAUGGGAGCUGGACGUGAAUUAAAAGCACUCACACAUCAGCAGGAACAACAUCAUUCACAUACGGCUGGAGCACUCAUGCUAUUUUUCGUGAGGUGGGUUCUUGGCUGGCAGACUUCACGGAUGGCACAGGAGAAGAAAGGAAUCCUUUUUCGUUUGAGUGGAAAGAGGGCUACGACUUUUUCGUUUAGUCAAGCUACUUUUCGUUCAUUUGAGGAAGAGAUACGGAUUGAGAGAAUUGGAGAGAGGAGUACAGAAUUUUCAACUACACGAAAUGAAGGAAAAUAAGCAAGAAGAAGAGUCAACAUUUUCGGAAAGCAAGGGGAUGGAAUUGGAAUUAGCUGAAGGGGUAGGCAGCAGCAGAAUUGGUGGGAGUUGAGAGAGGGAGAGACGUGUGAAGAAAAGUCAUGAGCAAA